GGUCUCGUAGUGUAGCGGUUAACACGCCUGCCUGUCACGCAGGAGAUCGCGGGUUCGAUGCCCGUCGAGACCGCCA
rnacentral:tRNA from 1 species